AUCAUCUUGACACCCAAGAAGCUCAUAAAGCGGCCUCACCUCAACACUUGGUUCAGCCCCCUUAACACCUUCUAAGUCAGUUGCUGCAUGUGGUGGUGUCAGGUGAGUGCCAUUAGUGGUCAGUGCCUGUUCAUCAGUGGUGGCAAGGAUUUACUUGACAUGAAGGCAUUAAUGCACCUACCUUAUAUAGGCCCGAUGACCUUGGUGAUGUGGAACAGUUCAUCAGCAGGAUGGAGACAGCCAACAGUUCAAACCUCUGUGUGUCUCGUUGUCACCGUUGAUGCAGCAGCUGCUGACUUCUAGCCUCAGUGCCACCUGGUCCCACAGUCCUGGAAUCUUUGGAUCAGCCUUAUUGUGUCGUGUGAAGCCGAUCCCAGAUGAGCCCCCAAGAAUCAGAAGAAAGAAAAC
ensembl:lncRNA